rnacentral:rRNA from 1 species
GACGAACGCUGGCGGCGUGCCUAAUACAUGCAAGUAGAACGCUGAAGCUUGGUGCUUGCACCGAGCGGAUGAGUUGCGAACGGGUGAGUAACGCGUAGGUAACCUGCCUGGUAGCGGGGGAUAACUAUUGGAAACGAUAGCUAAUACCGCAUAAAAUGAAUUAUCGCAUGAUAAUUCAUUGAAAGGUGCAAAUGCAUCACUACCAGAUGGACCUGCGUUGUAUUAGCUAGUUGGUGGGGUAACGGCUCACCAAGGCGACGAUACAUAGCCGACCUGAGAGGGUGAUCGGCCACACUGGGACUGAGACACGGCCCAGACUCCUACGGGAGGCAGCAGUAGGGAAUCUUCGGCAAUGGACGGAAGUCUGACCGAGCAACGCCGCGUGAGUGAAGAAGGUUUUCGGAUCGUAAAGCUCUGUUGUAAGAGAAGAACGAGUGUGAGAGGGAAAGUU